rnacentral:tRNA from 1 species
AAAGACUUAAGUCAAUAAGACUAUGAGCCUUCAAAGCUCAAAGUGCAGGUUAAACCCCUGCAGUCUUUG